AAAAACUUAGGUUAACCAAACCAAGGACCUUCAAAGCCCUAAAUAAGGACACAUUCCUUAGUUUUUG
rnacentral:tRNA from 1 species